rnacentral:lncRNA from 1 species
CCUAGCACCCUCUCCCCAUCGCCCCACGAGGCUCAGAGAGGCAGGGAGCUGCCGGCGAGUGUGAUGAGGCCGCACGGCCCGAGAACCAGACAGACCGGCUGCGCCACGGCUGCUUUCACUAGAGCUGUGUGACCUUGAGCAAACUCCCUGACCUCUCUGGAGUUCAGGUGCCCACCCGGGAGGUGACACUAGUUUUCUCUCGGAGCAGCUGGGCUGACUGGUGGCGGACACACAGUGGGGCCAUGGCCGCCCCACUACCUCUUCCCUUUCGUCGCUGGUAUCGCAUCCCUGGCCAUUCUGUGUGAGCCAAGCCAGGCCCUUUGCCAUCCACACUGGCCAGCUGCCGGAGGCCCUCGAAACUCCCACUAGCCAGGGUCCUCACAGCCCUGCUGGACUUUGAGGAGGGUCACCCCCUGCGUCCACACCACCCGGUCAGACUUCACAGUGAAGCAGUUGUGAUGGGGGCGGUAAUCAGAGUCUUCACAGGUCUUUACUGCCUGCUCACUGUUGCGGGCAAUAAGAUCGGUUUGGUUUGGUUUUAUUUGUGGUCCAUGCAGCGCACUGAACCACAGGACGUUUUCACAGACCCUUGUUGGACUAAACUGAACUGAAUUCCAGUCCUCCUCAGGCCGUGUGAUCCAGUGAGACGGUCACUCGAGCUGGCGAGUGGACGAGAGGGACAGCAGCUACAUCACGGAGAUGUGAGUCUGCUGGGCUCUGUGGGUCUGCCCGGAGCAGGUGAAGCAGGUGGGACAGGGCACAGGUGGGCAAAGCGGGGUAGCAAGGAGCACACCUGCACCAAGGGUGCGGCCUCUGGCCUUUGCUGACCACACCCAUGGGGCACCAGUCCCCGCACAUCAGCUCUGCCUCACCUGUGCGGCACCGUGGGACCUGCCCGUCUCCAGCGCUGUGUUCACACUCGGUGCUGAGAGAGGAAACAGUCAGAAGCCAGACGUGCAUUUCCAUUGGGCUCACCUCUCCUUGGUUCUUUCUGACGCCCAAGUGCUACGAUGACACCACUUUUGAGGAAAGCCACCAUUUCUAACCAAUGGCAGCCCAGAACAACAACCGAGUCCUGCAAGACAAAACCGAACAGGAGCGAGCGUGAGGUCCCAUGAGAGGUCCAGGGAAGAGCGACGAGGUGACAGCACGUAGAUGGCCUGGCUGUUUGUCCCCAGGGAGCUCAGCUGUUGGAAGUGGUGGGGCUGCCAACCCAGAAAAAGAGGGGGUUCCUCUGGCCAUCUGUUUGUUCAGCUGAGUCAGGAGGAACGUCAGCAAACUGGAGUCCCAAGGAGACGAGGAAUCAGGCCGGGGAAAGGACCCGAGGCUGUGAGCAUGGGAAAGGGCUGAAGGAUUUGUGACUCAGCUCAGACUGAGACAACACGAGACAACGACAGGAGGUCUAGCAGAUAAGACCCCCAGGCACGCUGAGGGGAGACCUCUAGGGGGCGUGGGGCUCAAGGCCUACACUGGAGUGGGGAAGGGACGACCUGUGCCCAGACUGCCAUCUCCUGGCCUGCGCCUUCCUGACACCUCCCUGUCCAUCAGUCAUUCAACAACCACUGCCCCUGCCCCAGGCCCCUCGCGCCUGCUGCUUCCAUCUGUCCAUCUGCUCCGACGCCAGCAGAACAGUGUUCAGUGUACAGUCAACUCCAGACCAAACCGCUGCCACUGUUUUCCAAAGGCUGGUGGGGUCGGCGGCCCCGCAGCUGCCCCCUCGACCCCUGACUCCCGGUGAUCAUGCCGCUGAGUAACGCCCUCUCCUGGACUGCGGGCUGGACCUAGCGACGGGCUUCCAACUGGCAGGAUGUGGCACAGCGCCGGGACGUCACCUGGCCAUGGGUCACUCAGACGGCGGCGUCCUCUCACGCUUUUCUCUCCUGCUCACUCCUGAGGGAAGGCCGCCGCCAGCUGCCCCCUUCCCUGUGGACAGGCCCAGGUGACAAGCAAGGGAGGGAGGCCUCGGGCCAGCGGUCAGCAGGGACCUGAGGCUUCAAUCCGACCACAUCCCACCACCAUGUAAGCGCGCUCGGAAGUGGACCCUUGCCAGCGACUCCCAGGUGAGACCACAGCCCGUCAGCUUGACCCACCUCGUCCCCCCCUCGCCCUGCACCCCUCAGCACCACGGCUGCCCCCUCUGUCCAGCCUCGCCAGCCCCGUCCUCCCAGACCCGGUGUGAGCCCGUCUCCCCCAGCUCCUGGCAAACCUCGCUCCUCUGAACCUGUUUCCCUCGGCGUCACCUGGAGGUCACCAUCUACUCCUCCUAUUACUUACCCCGCACGCGCCCCACGUGCUCCAUUAGCCUGAAGCGCCUCCCAGGUGGGACCAGUCUCAUCCGUCCUUCCACCCCCACACGCCCAGGACGGGGACCUGGAUUUGAAUUUCGGAUAGAUCUGUGACCUUUGGGUAAGUUACUAAGCAUCCACAAACCUCAGUUUUUCCCAUAUGUAAAAUGAAACUUUGAAAAUGAAAAUUUGUCAAUCAUAACAACAGAUGCUUAUUGGUUCGCCAAUGAAGGACGGGAGGCUUCCUCAGACGCGGUCCUGCGCCAGCACCUCAGACAAGGCCAUCCAUCUGAAAGGUGCCUGCGAGCCCCUGUUGCUCCUCCCGGCCUGUCAUCGAGGGUUCGGGCGGUCCUGCCUCCGCUCACCUCCAGCCUGUCUCGGCAACAUGGACCUCAGUCAGCAUGAGCCAGCAAGCUUUGAAGGCCGCCGUCUUUUUCCCUCUCUCCUGAGGCGUCUUCAUUUCCACUGCCGGGAGCACCGUCCUGGCCCUGACGGGUCACUCGUGGGGCUGUGUCCUCGGGCUCCACCCGUGACCUUUGCCAGAAGCCUCGCGGCACGGAUGUGUCAUGUGUUUCCUUUCACAGACCCCCGAGAGCAGAGUGGAGGUUUUGAAUAAAGAAAAAGGCAACCAUUUUACAAUCUCGUUUCCUUUGCUAGUCGCUACCUCCAGAUGCUGACUCGUUCGGCCAGAAGACUCCGUAGGUUUUUAUGAGACAGGAACUGUGAGCACACUGAGAGACGAAGCAGGGCAGACUGAGUUUUACCAGCAACACCGGGCUUUGCUGUCGCUUAAUCCUUGACUAGUCUGUUGACACAUGAAGCUCUUAAAAUCCUCGCUCUAUUUCUAAACCCCUGAUUUGUGCCUUUCAGUUGGAGCUUAUUCAGCUAAGACUGCACUGUGUGCUCAGCUGACAGACAGCAAACAUGCUUUCGUGGCUGCGACCAUAUGUUUGCAAAGACCUCAAUUACAAAAUUAACAGAGCAGAUUUCAUUGUCUUUGCUGAGCCCCAGAGAUGACAAUAAAAACCUCUAAUGAAGGGAGACACGAGAAAUAAGACCUAAAGACAAUAUUAAAAGAGAACAGCCGAUUUAUGGACUAAAUUUGAUUUACUAACCGGCCGUGUUGCUUCUGUUUUAGAAUUUGACAGAGCCCCAGAGCAGCUCGAUGCAACCCCUGGAAAGGGCACAGGAGCCCCAGAGAGAAGGCAGAUGAAGAGGAGGCCCCGUUUCCUCCCAUGGGGCUCAAGGCUGCUGUAGGCUGGACCAGACAUGUUCCCACCUGUGAGCAUCUCAAGACAGAAGCGGCAACAGGGGUCCUCUGGCAGAGCGAUUGGAAGAUGGGCAUAUUGACACGGAAAGAAGAAAGAAAAGGAUUAGAUGCCGUCACAGACAUGCAUGGCUGUCUCUGGAGCCCCCUUUCCAAGGCCCUCGCCAAGAAGGAUGAGCCGUUUGCUGUUCUCCUCUGAGGCCGGGAGCCGCUGAGCCCUGAAGUGGCAGAGGGACAGAGAGACUGUAAGGAGCAGGAGAGUCGGGACCACCAGCGUCUCUGCAGAGGCUCCCUGCCUCCCGACUGUCCCACCCCACUCACCACCAGAGCUGCGACAGUCACUGAGGGGGAAGAGCAGGUGAAUGGGGCAGCCAUGUCCCCACGCCGCCCUCCCGCAGGGCUGGGAAAAUCAAGCAAGAACUUCAUGCUAGACUUAGCAGUCAAUUUUGUAUCAGUUUUCAUUCGCCACCAGGAAUCAAGGUCAAAGGAAAAGAAAGGAAGAAAAGAAGAUGUGAGUUAUCCUAGAGGUUAUGUUCAGCACAUCCAAGACUCAAUGCCUUUAAUCUCGGGUGGGCCAGAAGGGCCACUUGGUCAGGACCUCAUCAGAAAACAGAAAGCCAAACGUGGGUACCGAGAAUGCAGGCCCCGGGAAUGGGGGCCCCGGGAAUGCAGGUACCAAGAGCGCAAAGGCAGGUUGGACGGGCAGAGGAAGCGACGGGGAUGGACGAAUGCCUGCCAUUAGCAGGAGCAGGGAGCCCUCAGCGCCAGCGUAGGGAACAGUCACCAGAACCUGGACACAGGCAAGGGCCACCAGGCAGGAAGCAUGGCCUUGAUGGAGACUGUAGAGCUGGGCCUUGCUUGCUCAGCAAAGGCCCACAAGCCCAUUGCAACCACAUGUCUUCCUGGCUCCCCUCUGGGCAGGACACCCAGCUGCUGGGAUUUGUAAGGACCCAGGGCCCGGCCAGCCCGGAUCCGGCCUUCCUCACUGCAAGAACAUGGCGUCCUGAAGGGACACAGGGCCCGUCCACGUGAGUGACUCUUUCUGGAACACUGGUCGUCCCAGGGACAGCCCGUUGGCAGGCACAUAGCCUUUGUGUCCCCCGCCUAUGUAAGAAACCCCCUCCCUGCCCGUGGCAGUGGGUGCACGUUGCUGUCCAGCUGGCAGCCACUGGACCUCCCUGUAAGUACCUCCCAAUAAACCCACACAUCUCCUUCACUGACCCCGGGUCUUUUCUGGUCUCUCCGCAGCCUACCCCACACUGCUCAUCCAGCAGGGCAUGUGCAGGACAGAGGGACCAUAGGGAGACACUCGGGGAGGAAACAGGGGCAUAACUUCCUGACCUCCUGCCCCCCACCCUCCUGUCUCCUACCAGCUCUGACUUCCAUUGGCCAAACCCAACAGGAAGCUAGAAGGUACGGGAGUCUGUUCACGGGCUCCAUCGUGAAGGCGAGCCCCCAGGGCCGGGGCUUGUGGACAAGGGUGCACAGCGUGUCUGGAGGGGCAAACAGGAGGUACCCAGCAGAGCCCAUCUCUUCUGUCCCUCAGCAUCCGCACAGGGCUUUAAUGGACAAG